GAUGAACGCUGGCGGCGUGCCUAAUACAUGCAAGUCGAGCGAACAGACGAGGAGCUUGCUCCUCUGACGUUAGCGGCGGACGGGUGAGUAACACGUGGAUAACCUACCUAUAAGACUGGGAUAACUUCGGGAAACCGGAGCUAAUACCGGAUAAUAUAUUGAACCGCAUGGUUCAAUAGUGAAAGACGGUUUUGCUGUCACUUAUAGAUGGAUCCGCGCCGCAUUAGCUAGUUGGUAAGGUAACGGCUUACCAAGGCGACGAUGCAUAGCCGACCUGAGAGGGUGAUCGGCCACACUGGAACUGAGACACGGUCCAGACUCCUACGGGAGGCAGCAGUAGGGAAUCUUCCGCAAUGGGCGAAAGCCUGACGGAGCAACGCCGCGUGAGUGAUGAAGGUCUUCGGAUCGUAAAACUCUGUUAUUAGGGAAGAACAAAUGUGUAAGUAACUAUGCACAUCUUGACGGUACCUAAUCAGAAAGCCACGGCUAACUACGUG
rnacentral:rRNA from 1 species